UACGUAGGGACCGAGCGUUGUCCGGAAUCAUUGGGCGUAAAGCGCGCGUAGGUGGCCACAUAAGUCCGUUGUGAAAGUCAAAGGCUCAACCUUUGAAAGCCGAUGGAUACUGUGUGGCUAGAGUACGGAAGAGGCGAGUGGAAUUCCUGGUGUAGCGGUGGAAUGCGCAGAUAUCAGGAGGAACACCGGUGGCGAAGGCGGGUCUCUGGGCCGAUACUGACGCUGAGGAGCGAAAGCGUGGGGAGCGAACAGG
rnacentral:rRNA from 1 species